GAUGAACGCUGGCGGCGUGCUUAACACAUGCAAGUCGAACGAUGAAGCCCAGCUUGCUGGGUGGAUUAGUGGCGAACGGGUGAGUAACACGUGAGUAACCUGCCCUUAACUCUGGGAUAAGCCUGGGAAACGGGGUCUAAUACCGGAUAGGAGCGUCCACCGCAUGGUGGGUGUUGGAAAGAUUUAUCGGUGUUGGAUGGACUCGCGGCCUAUCAGCUUGUUGGUGAGGUAAUGGCUCACCAAGGCGACGACGGGUAGCCGGCCUGAGAGGGUGACCGGCCACACUGGGACUGAGACACGGCCCAGACUCCUACGGGAGGCAGCAGUGGGGAAUAUUGCACAAUGGGCGCAAGCCUGAUGCAGCGACGCCGCGUGAGGGAUGACGGCCUUCGGGUUGUAAACCUCUUUCAGUAGGGAAGAAGCGAAAGUGACGGUACCUGCAGAAGAAGCACCGGCUAACUACGUG
rnacentral:rRNA from 1 species